GGCGAACGGGUGAGUAACACGUGAGCAAUCUGCCCUUGACUCUGGGAUAACUGCGGGAAACUGUAGCUAAUACCGGAUACGAGGCUCGAAGGCAUCUUCGGGUCUGGAAAGAAUUUCGGUCAAGGAUGAGCUCGCGGCCUAUCAGCUUGUUGGUGAGGUAAUGGCUCACCAAGGCGACGACGGGUAGCCGGCCUGAGAGGGUGACCGGCCACACUGGGACUGAGACACGGCCCAGACUCCUACGGGAGGCAGCAGUGGGGAAUAUUGCACAAUGGGCGAAAGCCUGAUGCAGCAACGCCGCGUGAGGGAUGAAGGCCUUCGGGUUGUAAACCUCUUUUAGCAGGGAAGAAGCGAAAGUGACGGUACCUGCAGAAAAAGCACCGGCUAACUACGUGCCAGCAGCCGCGGUAAUACGUAGGGUGCAAGCGUUGUCCGGAAUUAUUGGGCGUAAAGAGCUCGUAGGCGGUUUGUCGCGUCUGCUGUGAAAACCUGAGGCUCAACCUCAGACCUGCAGUGGGUACGGGCAAGCUAGAGUGCGGUAGGGGAGAUGGGAAUUCCUGGUGUAGCGGUGGAAUGCGCAGAUAUCAGGAGGAACACCGAUGGCGAAGGCACAUCUCUGGGCCGUAACUGACGCUGAGGAGCGAAAGCGUGGGGAGCGAACAGGAUUAGAUACCCUGGUAGUCCACGCCGU
rnacentral:rRNA from 1 species